UCGAAAGAAGUCUACAUGACCCCCUGGCGUUUCACGAGCUGGCUAAUUUACCCCCUGAGAUCUAAAACCGGGCGGUUUUGGUGACGUGGCACCCUGGCACGGAGAUCCCGUGAGGACAAGCGUUGAGAUACUGAUCGGAAGCUGCAUCAGCCAGUAGCCGGCUGUGUUCUUGCUUGAUGCAAACUCGGCUUGCCAUCGCGUCCCUCGUGCGCCGUACUCACCUCAGUAGCACUCUCGCCGGCCGCGUCUGCUUCUUCCUCUCCGUUGACAAGAACUCAUCAAGCUCGCGCCAUGUGCAGCCUGCGGCUUCCGCCGGCAGAUAACUAUGUCUACUGUUAGAGCUAAUCACGAUUAUGUUAGUCCUACCUGCCUCGGACAUAGUGGUACGUACUUCUUGUGUCUACAUGAGUCGGUGAGUGCUUGUUCCUGGAAUCAAUCCAAUAGGUAUGUACGUGCAUAUUGUAUCCAAAAGAGCGUUCUAUGCGUCUCGCGAGCGACGCUCCGGCUCCUUGCAGCUUCCGGAGCCAGUGCCCUGCUCGUUGACGACCUCGACCGCUCCACCUGUUUGCCACGGAGAGCUUGAGUACGAAGCCUCGCCGCACUCGAUUGGCGCGUACGGUGAGGGGUCACCAAAGCUAGAACUUGUGUCUGUUGGCAGGUUGCGCUGCACGCCGGUGCGGCCGCCGCAUCCGUGCAGCAGGGAGCCCAACGGUGCAAACGGCUAGACCGAUCCCACGAGCCCCGGCGGCAUGUGCUACGCCGGAGAAGUAGCUUCGACCAUGCAAUCUUCGCCUGACCCAAGGAAUGCCUUUCAAGUCUGGCGUGGGUG
rnacentral:rRNA from 1 species